CGGGUGGUAAUGCCGGAUGCUCCAGUUGACCGCAUGGUCCUCUGGGAAAGCUUUUGCGGUAUGGGAUGGGGUCGCGUCCUAUCAGCUUGAUGGCGGGGUAACGGCCCACCAUGGCUUCGACGGGUAGCCGGCCUGAGAGGGCGACCGGCCACAUUGGGACUGAGAUACGGCCCAGACUCCUACGGGAGGCAGCAGUGGGGAAUAUUGCACAAUGGGCGCAAGCCUGAUGCAGCGACGCCGCGUGCGGGAUGACGGCCUUCGGGUUGUAAACCGCUUUUGACUGGGAGCAAGCCCUUCGGGGUGAGUGUACCUUUCGAAUAAGCACCGGCUAACUACGUGCCAGCAGCCGCGGUAAUACGUAGGGUGCAAGCGUUAUCCGGAAUUAUUGGGCGUAAAGGGCUCGUAGGCGGUUCGUCGCGUCCGGUGUGAAAGUCCAUCGCUUAACGGUGGAUCCGCGCCGGGUACGGGCGGGCUUGAGUGCGGUAGGGGAGACUGGAAUUCCCGGUGUAACGGUGGAAUGUGUAGAUA
rnacentral:rRNA from 1 species